CUACGGGUUGCUCCAGUUAGGAAUAUUCUACAAUGCGCGCAAGCGUGAUAGAUUGAGCCAGAGUGUUUUUCAAAUGAAAAGCUUUUGUGAAAUGUAAAAAGUUUCACGAAUAAGGACUGGGUAAGACUAGUGCCAGCCGCCGCGGUAAUACUAGCGGUCCAAGUCGCAGCCAUUUUUAUUGGGUCUAAAACAUCCGUAGCUUGCUUAAUAAGUUCCUUGUGAAAUUUUAUCUCUCAAAGAUAGAGCGUGCAAGAAAUACUGUUAAGCUAGAGACUGGAAGACGUAACGAGUACGUUCGGAGUAGCGGUAAAAUGUGUUAAUCCUGGACGGACUAACAAUAGCGAAGGCACGUUACGAGGACAGUUCUGACAGUAAGGGAUGAAGGCUAGGGGCGCAAAACGGAUUAGAUACCCUCGUAGUC
rnacentral:rRNA from 1 species